rnacentral:rRNA from 1 species
CCUACGGGUGGCAGCAGUAGGGAAUCUUCCACAAUGGGCGAAAGCCUGAUGGAGCAACGCCGCGUGGGUGAAGAAGGUCUUCGGAUCGUAAAACCCUGUUGUUAGAGAAGAAAGUUCGUGCGAGUAACUGUUCACGGUUCGACGGUAUCUAACCAGAAAGCCACGGCUAACUACGAGCCAGCAGCCGCGGUAAUACGUAGGUGGCAAGCGUUAUCCGGAUUUUUUGGGCGUAAAGGGAACGCAGGCGGUCUUUUAAGUCUGAUGUGGAAGCCUUCGGCUUAACCGGAGUAGGGCAUUGGAAACUGGGAGACUUGAGUGCAGAAGAGGAGAGUGGAACUCCAUGUGUAGCGGUGAAAUGCGUAGAUAUAUGGAAGAACACCAGUGGCGAAAGCGGCUCUCUGGACUGUAACUGACGCUGAGGUUCGAAAGCGUGGGUAGCAAACAGGAUUAGAUACCCCAGUAGUC